rnacentral:tRNA from 1 species
AAAGUAUGAUGUUCAAGUAAAAGCUGCUAACUUUUUUCUUUUAAUGGUUAAAUUCCAUUUAUACUUUA